rnacentral:lncRNA from 1 species
AUUAAUUCAGAGGCGAAGUCAGCCACGCUGGGAAGGGGGCCUUGCUGGGCCCACACCGUGGAUGGUUCCCCGGUUUCUGGAGAUGGCCGGUUCCCCAGGGUGGUCUCUCUGCACCGCCUCGAACUCUCAGGAAGCCUCACUUGGAGCUGCCAGGAAAACCUCUAGCUCUGGGAGACCUGGAAAAGAAUAAGAGCGUCUCAGGAGCGCUGAGCUGGUGCUGGCUUCGCGAGCCACGCCACGAAGCC